rnacentral:rRNA from 1 species
GAUGAACGCUGGCGGCGUGCCUAAUACAUGCAAGUCGAGCGGUAAGGUUCUCACAGUUUGCUUAACACUUCUUGGGUUCAAGGAGGGAAUGUUGAGUAAAGUGUGAGAAUACACGAGCGGCGGACGGCUGAGUAACACGUAGGAACGUACCCCAAACUGAGGGAUAAGCACCAGAAAUGGUGUCUAAUACCGCAUGUGCUCUAAGGAGUAAAGCUACGGCGGUUUGGGAACGGCCUGCGCAUGAUUAGCUUGUUGGUGAGGUAAUAGCUCACCAAGGCGACGAUCAUUAGCUGGUCUGAGAGGAUGAUCAGCCAGACUGGGACUGAGAACGGCCCAGACUCCUACGGGAGGCAGCAGUAGGGAAUUUUCCACAAUGGACGAAAGUCUGAUGGAGCAACGCCGCGUGCAGGAUGAAUGCCUUCGGGUUGUAAACUGCUUUUAUAUGUGACGAUUUUGACGGUAGCAUAUGAAUAAGGAUCGGCUAACUCCGUG